UGCUCUGGUGGCCUAGUGGUUAAAAUGUCUGCCUUGGAUGUGGGAGGUUGCAGGUUCGAAACCCGGCUUAGUCAU